GCUUGCGGGUCUUUACUGAUGUAAAGGUCAGCUCUCCUGAAAUACAUUAGCGGAACCGUUUGCAGUCCCGUCACUAGUGUGAUAAUUAUCUACACUGUGAUGAUUGCUCUCUGACUAGUUCAGCUGCUAAUCGUCCGUUAUGGACAAUGUUUAAUGAACUUCUUGACCUCAAAUCAGGUAGGACUACCCGCUGAACUUAA
rnacentral:misc_RNA from 1 species